UACGUAGGGGGCAAGCGUUGUCCGGAAUCAUUGGGCGUAAGAGCGCGUAGCGGCCCUGUAAGUCCGCUGUGAAAGUCAAGGGCUCAACCCUUGGAUGCCGGUGGAUACGUGCAGGGCUAGAGUCCGAAGAGGCGAGUGGAAUUCCCGGUGUAGCGGUGAAAUGGCGCAGAGUAUCGGGAGGAACACCGAUGGCGAAGGACGGUU
rnacentral:rRNA from 1 species